rnacentral:rRNA from 1 species
AACGCGAAGAACCUUACCUACCUUUGAAUCCACGGAACUUUACAGAGAUGUAGAGGUGCCUUCGGGAACCGUGAGACAGGUGCUGCAUGGCUGUCGUCAGCUCGUGUCGUGAGAUGUUGGGUUAAGUCCCGUAACGAGCGCAACCCUUGUCCUUAGUUACUAGCGGGUUAUGCCGAGUACUUUAAGGAGACUGCUGGUGAUAAACCGGAGGAAGGUGGGGAUGACGUCAAGUCCUCAUGGCCCUUACAGGUAGGGCUACACACGUGCUACAAUGGUCGGUACAAAGGGUUGCCAACCCGCGAGGGGGAGCUAAUCCCAAAAAGCCGAUCGUAGUCCGGAUUGGAGUCUGCAACUCGACUCCAUGAAGUUGGAAUCGCUAGUAAUCGCGGAUCAGAACGCCGCGGUGAAUACGUUCCCGGGCCUUGUACACACCGUACGUC